AUAAUCUUUGGCAGAUGGCCAGGAUAGAGAUUAGUCUACAUCUGACGCUAGCUACUACUUCUGCGGGCUGUCAACCAGCAAAGCUGAGACUGGUGUGUUGUUAAUGAGGCAAAAAUAAUGAUGGCCGAUCACUAGACAAGGAUGCAGUGGCCAGACACCAGUCCUGUUUCAGAGUAAUGGAUGACACCUGAAUCAGGAGGUGCCCCCUUCCACAGUGCCAAUGGUCUACUCCUGGGCCUGAUCUUUCUCUCUCUCCCUCCCUCUCUUUCUUUGUUAUAGGAGCUUGGUCAGAUCUGUAAGUCAAUGGCCAGUAUCUGUGACGAGAGGAGCCUGUAGCUGAUCUAUGCUGCCAUGCCCUUCAGGCGUUGGCAAACACCUCCGAAGGGACAAAAGGUGAUUUACUAUAUAAUAACACUACAUCACAAGAGUUUAGAAACCCUGGCAUACACUACAGUGGUAUGAGAAGAGUGCCAUCCUCCUGCAUCUCUCAUCUGGCUGUAGUUAUUGAACUCUACCUGCUGGACCCAUGGGUUGAGGCAAACUCUGUCAUAUCCAGGAUGGACUGUUCAUGCACUCCACCCCUCCUGCCACCUGACUGCACCUGUCCAUAACCUAUAAGACAUUACAUAGAGUACAUUUACAGUACAUGCACACUAACCUCAUCGGCAGACUCAAUAGCCUUGGUUUCUUAAAUGAUUGCCUCGCCUGGUUCACCAACUACUUCUCUGAUAGAG